UACGUAGGGGGCAAGCGUUAUCCGGAUUUACUGGGUGUAAAGGGAGCGUAGGCGGUGAUGCAAGUCAGAAGUGAAAGCCCGCAGCUCAACUGUGGGACUGCUUUUGAAACUGUAUGACUAGAUUGCAGGAGAGGUAAGUGGAAUUCCUAGUGUAGCGGUGAAAUGCGUAGAUAUUAGGAGGAACACCAGUGGCGAAGGCGGCUUACUGGACUGUAAAUGACGCUGAGGCUCGAAAGCGUGGGGAGCAAACAGG
rnacentral:rRNA from 1 species